ACGUGAGUUAAGUAUUUGCAUGCUUCUUCAGACGCCUCGGUGCUCCCUUUUGGGAUGUUUCAAGUCUUGCUGGUAGCAGCAGGCCGGCCAGGCCCAGCUUAUUUCAUAGGACAGCAAACACUGAGUCACAGCAGGAGGCUUUGCUGGCUGCUGCUCUGCUGCCACGAUAAUUUAGAGGACGGGAGACUGGCAGCUGCUGCGGUUACUGCAGUACACCCAGCUGCUUCAUCAGGUCCACCGUCAGCAGGCCGCUGGUAAUGUUACUGCCACCGGUGGAAAACGUGAGCUGUGCACCGUCUACAGAAAACUUGACCUGAAGCUGUGCUGGACUGCAGCUUCCACUCUAAUGGAGAUCCAGAUGUGAUUGUGUUAAAAACAUCCAUGAACACGGCACGCUGGAACCAGCAUAUGCAUCGGCCCUCGUGGAGUUUCUGAAAGAGGGCGGCUCCAGGUCACCAGAGGCUCUACGAGGGAGAAGUGCUGUCUUGUCCUCCACUGCACCUGCCCCCCUUUCCAGAUCCUGCCAGAAGAUCACCAAGGAUGAGGAAGUUGGACUGUAUCUUGCACGGCAUUCACAGUUUAGCACAGGAAACCAGCGCAGAUGUUUUGGUUCCCAGUUUUCAGGUUGAGUUUAUUAUAAUUCAAGACAAAGUCAGAUCAGUCCUACAAUUCAUAUUCACAUUAUCCUCGGCAAAAGACAUACUCAGUCACAUUUGUUUAUUUGUGAGAUAUCUCAAAAACCUGGUAAGAGAUUUUGAUGAAAUCUGGUAAACAAUUAGGCCACAGGCUUGUUGGUUUUUUGUUUUAAAUGUUUUCAACAUUGCAAGAGCAUUUUGAACAUUUUCACUGUUUACUUUGCUUACUGUAAAAAAAAAAGGUCCGUGUGUAUUUUUAUGUAGAGCCAGAUGCUAAUUAAAACAUUUUCUAUUAAUAAACUAUUGAGGAGUGUACAGCUUUA